rnacentral:rRNA from 1 species
AUACGUAGGGGGCGAGCGUUGUCCGGAAUGAUUGGGCGUAAAGGGCGCGUAGGCGGCCCGGUAAGUCUGGAGUGAAAGUCCUGUUUUUAAGAUGGGAAUUGCUUUGGAUACUGUCGGGCUUGAGUGCAGGAGAGGUAAGUGGAAUUCCCAGUGUAGCGGUGAAAUGCGUAGAGGUUGGGAGGAACACCAGUGGCGAAGGCGACUUACUGGACUGUAACUGACGCUGAGGCGCGAAAGUGUGGGGAGCAAACAGGAUUAGAUACCCUGGUAGUCCACACUGUAAACGAUGAAUGCUAGGUGUAGGGGGUAUCGACCCCUUCUGUGCCGCAGUCAACACAAUAAGCAUUCCGCCUGGGGAGUACGGCCGCAAGGUUGAAACUCAAAUGAAUUGACGGGG